AAUUUUCGGCAACGGAUCUCUUGGUUCUGGCAUCGAUGAAGAACGCAGCGAAAUGCGAUAAGUAAUGUGAAUUGCAGAAUUCAGUGAAUCAUCGAAUCUUUGAACGCACAUUGCGCCCCUUGGUAUUCCGAGGGGCAUGCCUGUUCGAGCGUCAUUAUAACCACUCAAGCCUCGGCUUGGUCUUGGGGUUCGCGGUCUCGCGUCCCUUAAAAUCAGUGGCGGUGCCGUCUGGCUCUAAGCGUAGUAAUUCUCUCGCUAUAGGGUCCCGGCGGUUGCCUGCCAGAACCCCCCAUUUUUUACGGUUGACCUCGGAUCAGGUAGGGAUACCCGCUGAACUUAAGCAUAUCAAUAAGCGGAGGCU
rnacentral:misc_RNA from 1 species